rnacentral:rRNA from 1 species
GACGAACGCUGGCGGCGUGCUUAACACAUGCAAGUCGAACGGAAAGGCCCUGCUUUUGUGGGGUGCUCGAGUGGCGAACGGGUGAGUAACACGUGAGUAACCUGCCCUUGACUUUGGGAUAACUUCAGAAAACUGGGGCUAAUACCGGAUAGGAGCUCCUGCUGCAUGGUGGGGGUUGGAAAGUUUCGGCGGUUGGGGACGGACUCGCGGCUUAUCAGCUUGUUGGUGGGGUAGUGGCUUACCAAGGCUUUGACGGGUAGCCGGCCUGAGAGGGUGACCGGCCACAUUGGGACUGAGAUACGGCCCAGACUCCUACGGGAGGCAGCAGUGGGGAAUAUUGCACAAUGGGCGGAAGCCUGAUGCAGCAACGCCGCGUGCGGGAUGACGGCCUUCGGGUUGUAAACCGCUUUCGCCUGUGACGAAGCGUGAGUGACGGUAAUGGGUAAAGAAGCACCGGCUAACUACGUG